AAAUUUUUAAUUAAGUUUUUGAGGAUAAAUAAUUUUUAAUAAAGUUAUUUAGAAAAAUAUAAAAAUAAUACGUUUUAUAAUAAAUUUAUUGAAAUAUUAAUACAAAUAUCAUUUUAGUUAAGCAAUUAAAUACGUAUAAAAGAAAGAGAAAAAUAAAUUAAUAUAAUUAUUUAAUUAAAAAAUUAAAUAAUUUAGUUAUAUUAUUUUAUAAAUUAUAUAAUAAGAAAAAAACAAAAAAAGAAAACAGUUCAAACUUUGUGCAUAUAUUGUAUAUUUAUAUAUUUAUUGUAUCAAUAUUUAAAAUUAUCAUUCUAUAAAUAAAUUUCAAUUAACAUUUUACUUUCAUUUUUAACGAAAUUUUAUUUAUGGUAUAAGUAAUGUAAUUCAAUAUACCUAUAUAUUAUGUUCUCAUAUUCAUGUUUUUUGUAAAAAAAAAAAAAUUAAAGUCAUUAAGAAAUAAAAAUUAAUUGAUUCGAAAUCUAACAGAAUUUUCAAUAGGUUAAAAAUUGAUUCAACACUGACAUGCAAUGCAAGGGCGCGUGCGCAAUAACAUCUGGAAAGCUCGGCUUGCUCUUUCGGUCCUUGUCGGCCGUAACCGCGAUCCUCUGUUCCGACGGUGUCGCCUACCCCGAGCUCAGUGAGCCGAUGUGUGAGCGCCGCGACGCCCAGAACAGCCUCAACGUUAAGCGUCGCCGACGUGGGUUUGACGAGAGGCCACGUUUUCUUUCUCGCCCUUGUCGUCGUCAUCAUUGUUGUCGUCAUUUUCGUCAUUCGUCUUUUUAGUUAUCUUUUUUCGAUUAGCUAUUGUGGUGGCGCACGCGGCUACACAUCGCCGAUCGGUUUGGUGCGCGACGAAAGAGAAACAGAGAGAAAGACAGAGACAGAAACGUGUAUAGUAUAUCUUCCUCUUUUUCUCUCUUCUUUUAUCAGUCUCUUUCUUUCUCUCAAUUUUCUCCGCCCUGAGCAUUUCUAUCUUUCUCUAUCUUGACAAUUGUAUUCAUUCGCUCGACAUCAUCGUCUCUUGCUGUCAUUGCUGUCUUUUCCAUCGGUGGUUCACGUGUCUCGCGAAUGCGUUGCAAAACGCAUCUUCUCUCUCUGAUCUCCAUCGGCUUCUCGUUGUUUGAGGAACGUAUGGCUACAAAAAGGAAAGAGGAUGACCGCGACCGAGGAAACGAUCAACGAUGAACCAUCGACCAGCAAGAAGAAAAAUGACAUAAAUGUAAAGGGUACAUAACAUACGUAUUCGAUCUAUUCUAAUCUCGUUCAAUUUAAUUCGUAUCGCGGAUCCUUCUGAUAUAAGAAAAUCAUUUAUAGUCGAUGCUUUUUUCACUCCUUCGUUCAAACAUGUCGUUUCUUUUUCUUUUUUCUAUAUUUCGUUAUAUUAUUUAUUUUUUGCUUUCUUCUUUAGUUUCAUUAUUUUGUGUAAAUUAAAUAUACAUAAAACAAAGAUAAUUGGAGUAAGAGUUGAAAAUGAUACUGUAUUUUGAAAAUAAGCGAAAAAAGGAAAAUAUGAGAAAUGAGAGCGAGAGAAAAUGUGCUGUGGUUGAGUGGGCGGGUGAAUUAUGGAAAGAGGGUGAAAAGGAAGGAGAUGAGACCAAUGGUAGUAUACGUGUACACAUAUAUAUGUAUAUAUAUAUAUACAUACAUAUAUAUAUAUAUAUACAUACAUGUAUAUAUAUAUAUACAUAUAUAUAUAUACAUAUAUAUAUAUAUAUGUAUAUAUACGUAGAGUGAUUUGUAUGGAAUGCAUGAGUAAAUAAAGAUAGCGAUAUAUUGCGACAUGAUGUUUCUCGAGGAUUCUUUUAAAUAAUGUUGAAGGAGCAAUUAUAAGUUUUUAAUUACGUGACAAUUAAGUUUAUUUGAUGUUACAUCUAUUCUUGCGAAUUUUUUUUAAUUUCGCUGAUUGAACAAUAAGUGUCUUAAAUGUAAACAAAAUAUCGUUUAAAAAGCAUUCAAUGAAUUAUUACAUUUGAGUCAAAACUUUUCUUUUAAUAAUAUUACAGAAAAGUAUUAUUUUUUUUUGUCCGUAUUACAUUUUCAGCAUGUAUCGUCUGAUCAACACAAUGGUUAAUAAGGAUUUGAUUCAGAUUUGACCUGUUGAUUCUGCAGAAAACGCUUGUAUUAUGCGAGAUAUGCAUGUUACCUGAUGUUAAAUCAAUUGAAAUAUAUAUGCUAUUAUCGUGCAUACAAUGUCAUAGUUUAAAAUAUUUAAUUAUCAUAUAGGGAAAUAAUUUAUUGCAAAUCUUAUAAUUAUAAUAUUUUUUAACAAUGUCAUUUAAAUUUAUAUAAUUUAUAUUGAAAUUUUUUUGAAUACAAAUUUUAAAUGUUCAUUGACUUUUUUACAUAAAAAGCGCAAAAGUUUACAUAAAAUCAUAAAAAAUUGUUAUGUAAUGAUUGAUAAUUUCCAUGUUAUUAUUCAUGAUGCGCUUGCAUUUUUUUAAAUAAAAUUUAUAUUUACACGAUUGUUAAUCGAUAUAAAAUUAAACUUGUUGAAUUCAUGAAAAGAAAUUCACGCAGUUUCACAUAAUUUUAUAAUAUAAUGUAAUAUAUUAAAUAUAAUAUAUAUUAAAUUUCUAAAUAAAUAUAAUAAUAAGUAGAUAUUAUUUUUAAAUUUAAUAUUUUAUUUUAUUAUUUUUGUACUAUUAAAAAAAUAAAACAAUGAUACAAAUUUAAAUGUUAUAUAAUAAUUCCGCAAAAAUUUUAAAAGUUAAUUCUAGAAAGCUGAGAAUUAUAUAUUUGUAGAAACAAGAAUGAAUACAAGCUUUAAAUAAAACUAUAGAAAUAUAAUAAGAUAAAUAAAAUUAUUAAAACAAUCGAUAAAAACAAAUUAUUGAAAUAAUUUUAUAUAUAAUAUGUAUACUUUUCAUAAUAAUACAAAGUAUAAUACAUGUAAAAUAAAAAAAUAUUUAAUAUUGAAAUAUAAAAAUAUUGUACUGACAUACAUAUUAUGUAUACACAUGUACUAACAUGUCGAAACUUUUAAAAUAUUGAUCGUACUGUCCUGUGAAAUAGAAUAUCUGACUACACGAUCUUUUAAUUAGUUUAAGUAGCGUCUAUUCAAUUAAUUCCAAUAAGUUCAAGUUCGCAUUAACGACACAUUAAUUAUAAUAAAUAUAAAUUUAUCUAUCGAAUGACAAAGAAUAGUUUUUAAAUUUUUUAGGUUAUCGUAUUUUUUAGUCCAUUAAAAUCUUCUGCUGCGUCGAAUCGACAAUAAUGUAAAACUGCAGCCAAAAGUUACGAUACUUUGUACGUGGGAGUGAAAAUGCACGGCAAAGAACGCGCAUACAUCGUUCAAUUUCUCAUCGCUUAUUUUCUACAUCCAUGCAAAUAUUCGCGGCAGUGAACCGGCUUGUGACAAACAUUGCCACGAAGGAAAUUUAAAAUCAUAUUUUUGUGUGAAUCGCAUGUGUUGUCGCACACGGGACUAAAGUAUAAACAAUGAAAGUUUGAUAAAAUAUAUUCGUGCAUACAAGAGAAUUGAUUGCUGGACGACAUCUAUAUGAAACUGGAGUACCGAAAUACAUGCAGCUCGUGAACAAAUAUUGUUACUUUCAAAAACUUUUCAACGUCAUUCUACAUCGCUACCAGAAAAAGUAAAAAAAAAAAAAAAAAAAAGGCUUCAUGCGAGGAACACGUAAAAUACUAUUUUUAAAAGGAAAAAAAAAAAAAGGCAGACUCGACACACUCUGAAAUACUCACAGACACAAUCACGAAAAUCCUAAUAGAAUGUCCAAGGCUAAACCGUUUGGAAAGUUUCGGUAGCAAUAUCCCUAUACGGUAUUAGUAAAGAGCAAGCGAAGUCCAUCAGCAUCGACCCACACCAUAACUUCCGCAACGAAGAUUGUCCUCGUCGAUCAAUUUUUAUUUCAUCUUCUUCUCAUUAUACUCGUCAACGUUAUCAUCAUCAUCAUCAUCGUAAUUUUUCUGAUAAAAGAAAGAAAGGAGAUCAACGGAUAUGAUAGAAGAAAGGACGGUUGAAUAAUUCGAUGCAAAGAGAAGGAAGCUUUAAUCUUCUUUAUGAAAAUGAGGUUUACGUUUGAACAGCAAAAUGACGGACUCCAUGGGAAUCAAGAAAUCGUUACCUUGCUGAUGUCAAUUUAGCCAGGCCGUAACCAUUCUUCUCUGACGCAGUAAAAGUGACAAAUGAAGCGAAAAACUGGAACGUCCGCUUGUUUUGUACUGGCAGUUUUCUCUGGUGAGACUUAAAGUUCCACAUGGACUGUACUGAACGUGCUCUUUGUAUCGUGACAUUUUAUUUGUGCGAUAUUAGAGAUGAAAUAUCAUUGAGGAUACGUAGUACCAUUCACGUUCUUUCUGUUUUCUUUCUGAACUUGUUUUCAGAGAGAAAGAUGCAACUGGUAACAAGUAAUCUGAAUGGAUAAGAGACGUUACUUAGAAGAUAUUCCUUCAAAAUUUAUUUAUAAUUUCAAUAUUCUGUUUUCAAAAAAAGAAAAGAAAGAGAGAAGAGGCGAAUAAAGGUUUACACGAAGUGAAAAAUGAUUAAAAGUCGAAUUACAAAAAGAGCUUGCGUAUUAUGCUCCUUGCAAUUCCCCCAUAAAAAAUGAAAAAAAGGAGAAAAGAGAGAGGCGAAGCAAAGAAGAAGUGCAUAGGGGUAUAAGAAGCAAACUCUCUUAUAGGUCAAUGGAUCCAGGGGGAAGGUUCGAGUGCUUAAGGAAGCCAAGAAACCGGUAGGAUUAUAAUACCGGGUGAAAAGAUCCUUAACAAACGUCGUAAAACGGGUAGUCUUGAAUUUCUGGCUAAAGAAAGAACCGGUUCCAGCCUCUUCUGAUGAAUGUAAUUAAACGUUAAAGUAUUGCACUUACGCGUUUGUACUUGAAAUGCGGACGGGGACGAAAGCAAUUAGAAACGAAGGGAAAAGAAAAAAAAAAGAAGAAGAAGAAAGAAGGAAAGGAAAGGAAAAGGGCUCGCGUGGCGUCGAUGGCUAAAAAAUAGGGCUGUGCAACAGAGCAGAAAAUAUCGAGAAUUGUUUCAGAGCAGCAACGACAAAAAUUAAAAGAGCAAUCUUAAAAUCUACUGCAGAUACAAAAUAUAAACAUAAUGGGGCAACCAUGUUACAAUGUAUAACCAUGGAAUGGAAGAAAAUACGAGGUCUAAUUUUCAAAAUGGCAUAUGAGAUUUCAUCUCUAAUGGGAUUAGACAUGCCCCGAUAGACCUCUUGUUAAUAAUGCUAGAAGAAUCGUAACAAUAUCCCCAUCUUUGGGGAUAUAAAUUACUUUGGGACGUAUUAUCUUAAUAGAAGGGGACUCGAGAAUUUUUAUAACAGCGUUUCUCAUUCUUCCACUUUAUAACUUAAACCUAGACUUGGAUAUAUAUAUUAAAAUUAUGUAUAUUUGGACGCGGUUCAAAUGUGUUUCGAACAGUUUGGAAUAGUUGAGAGAAAGAAUUCUUGUAUACUUUUGUUCUACGACCCAUUAAAAAUCGAAUACGCAUAAAUUCAAAUUAUUCGAAUUAAUUUCCAUUUUUAUGAGAAGAAUUAUUUUAUAUAAAUUUUGUAUUUAAAAGCGAGUCUAUAUUUUCAAUGAUUGUUUAACAUUUGUGCAACAUUGUGACGUGAGCAAGAGAUGACAGGAAAACGGAAAUCCCUUUCGUGCCGGGAAGCCAUAUUCUCUUCAUACAAGGAGGAUAUGUACUAUUGCGUGUGAAAGGCAUAACAAUACUGUAUAGAAUCUACAUAUUGUGCGGCUUCGCAUUAUAGUGUUUUAUUUUUCUUAUAGAAAUAUCAAGCUCCAAGUGAAAUAGUAACAUUGAUGAUAAUAAUUGCAAACGCACACUUUCCGUUCAUUCCAUCUUAUUAUUAUCCUUAUUUUAAAUAAUUACAAAUUUUACAUUAAUAACCGAGAUAAGGAUACAAGUUUAUAGGCCAUAAUGAAAUUAUAUGUUUUAUAUACCUGUGUCUAUACAUGAUGCAUUAUGUCGUGAUAUGCACAAUUUAUAUUUUAAGAAUAAGUUAGAGCAAAGAUAACGGUAAUUACGAUUUUGUAAGAAAAUUUUCUAGCUUGACACGUAUAAUUUUUUAUAAUUUCUCCUAUAAUUUAUUACCUGAUCUCAUCAGAGAUUUGUCUGCCAAUUCAUGGAAAAUUAAUUUUCUUUUCCAAGUACGGUUACACUUGUGAAUAAGAAACGUAUCAGAUUAGAUUAUAAUCAAUUAUGUUAGCAACUUAUAGAUGAUUUUCUUUAAUAUUUGAAUACUUAUCAUGGUCGAGAACAAAGUAACGAAUACUUAUUUAUUAUCCAAUAAAAAUUCAUUAUUUAAACUACUCUGAAUGAAAUCUUUCUUUUUAAUAAUUUCAGAAAUAAAUUCGCUACGUAGACUUCAAGAAUCAAAAUUACAGGUAGGAAUGAAUAUUCGUGCAAUUUCAUAGAAUUAAAUAUUACUUUAUUGAAAAAAAAUAAAUAAUCGAGUAUCAAAAAAUAGACUUAUAUCGAGUAUCGAGAUCUUGUCGACAAAGACACGUUUCGUACGUUUUUAAUCCCAAUGAUUUCUCCAUUUUUUAUUCCAGUUAAUUACUUAUUUAAUAAAAAAUACGAAUGAAAAAAAGGAUUAAAAAAAAAAUAUUUAAACGCGACAUCGAGAUAAUUUCUCCGCAUUAACUUCCUCCGUUUCUUAUUAUGCACUUCGAGGCUCGAGAUUAAGCGUUAUCAUUCCCCGUUUCGAAGUUCCACACAUUGGAACGACCAAUUAACGAAAGUUUAUGGGUAACCUGUAUCCUGAAGCCACUCGAACGCUCGUGGGAGGGUUCAAUUUAUUUCGAGAUUCUCGACCGCGUUUUUCACCGAGACUGUCCUCUCAUUUGCAUCGUGGAAGCAUCGUGCUGUUCCUGGUGGGGGGCAAUAGGUGCCCCUUCGACGUCAGGAGCGGCUGAAGUUAGGGGCGACUACGUUUAUUAUACGUAUAAAAAUAUAUAUUAUCAUUCUUUUUUUUUUUAUACGAAAAAAUAAAUUAUUUCGAUACAGUGAAAAUAUGAAAUAGCAUACGUGAUGUUCGAUUGUAAUAAUUGACGAAUUCGUGAAAUAAAGAUAAGCAAGAAGAGUAAACCGAUUUAUUUCACUGAAAUUGAAUGCUGAUAAUUAUCUUUGCUAUAUAUAUUAAUCUCGUGCUUACUCGUAUAAUAAACUAUUGAUCUCGAAAGAAAUAUUUUUUCUUUAAGGAUCUUUGUUUCAUUUUAUAAAAAUUAAUAUUUCAUUUGAGUUAUAAUCAUUAUAGCGUUCAAAACUACGUGUAAUGAAAUAAAACAUUGCAUAUCUAAGUUCUUGAUUAAAUAAUAUCGAAUUAAGAAAUCAGGUUAGAGGAUAUUAUUUUGAAGAAAGGAAUUUUUUGGAAUCAAUCUAGGUACAGCACUGAAACUCUCAGCUCACCCGCUAAGAAAGCAACCCUCAUUACCGUGAGUGUUUUAGAUUUCUUCGACUGAAAUAAUUAUCGUGCGCUUCUUUACUAUCAUAUCGAAUUACAAAUAUGCAAAAAUGGUGGAUGCAUUGAAGGAUAAAGGACGAUCUCGUCAAUAAUGAGACUUGGAUCGUGUCGAAUCAUUUAUUUUUAUCUCGAAAUUUUAUUAACGAAAUUCCAAUCGAUCAAAAUAAUGGAUAUUACCUAUUGUUAAAUGACGUAUUACUGUAUGUAUGGGAUAUCUUCAAGUCUAGAGACAAAAACAAAUAUCGGUUAAAAUUUAUCGAGUUACAAGUAAUUGAAAUUUGCAUUGGAUGGAGAGCUAUCUCACUUUAAUGAAAACUCAAAUUGCUCGUAAUUUAAUAAAUUUUAAUUGAUAUUUUCUUUUUUAGGUUAAAUUUUGUAUUUCUUUCCUUUACUCGAUUUUGUCUGAAAAAUUCACGAAAUAUUAAUACUUUGCAUAUUAUUCUUUUAUAAUUAUAACAACAUGCAAUGGUAUUUAUUGUUAUAAUUAGUAGCGAUAUUAAUUUUAUUUAAAUUAUGCUUUUCCUAGAUUCCUAGAUUGUAGAUUUUAGGAUAAUUUUUAGAUAAUUCAUAAUUUAUUUGCAAUGUAUUUGCUAAAGAUCUUAAUUGAGAAUAAUUAAGAGUAAUAAAAUUAAUUUAAUAACGUGGAUAUAAUUAUAAUAUAUAAAAUUUUCAUUAUCAUAUUACAUAUAAAUCAACACUCUUAUUCUGAUGCAUUGUUCUACACAAUAUUUUAAUUAUAUUCCUUAACUCGCUUAUUUAUAUAUUCGAGAUCCAGUUUUAAAUAUGUUACAUGAAUUAUAAUAGAGAGAAAUAAUUUUUUUUAACGUAAGAAAAUAAAUUUUCAUAUACGAUUAUGAUUAUUUUAUUCGAUUAUUAUGUUGAAUUAACACACGAAAAUAUUUUCACGCAAUUUCAGAUAAUUUCAAAAACGAAUAAUUGCGAGAAAAAUAAAUUUUUCCUAAAAAAUUAAAUCCGCACAAUCGUAAUAAUAUUAUAAUUGUUAUUCAUAACCUAAAACGUCUAAAACACUUUGAAUUAAUUUUGAAUUCUAUACAUUGUGAAUGAAAGAAAUUAAGAAAUAUAUAAUUUUGUAAAUCGAAAUCAAAUAAUUCAAAUACGUAACAAAAAAGAAAUAUUAAUAAAAGAAAGGACGUAAAAAUAAAUAUCGUAACACGAACGAUCACGCGCAAUAUGUCAAAUUCACGACAUCCAUGGCCUACUGGCUGCGAAUUGCGAAAUGGGAAAAGAAGGUCACGUUUCCGGGGUUACCGACCGUAACACGAGAAUCCACUAAAAGUGAGCGGGCCAUUUAAAAUUCUAUUAUUUAUUUAUUAUUAUCAUUUCCAUGCACGCUUGUAAAUUACAAAUUAUCGUUGCAAAUAAAAUUGUCGGAAUGUAAUAUGAAAGGAAUAAAAGAAAAUUAAAAAAGAUAUCGAGGUCGAAAUAACGAAGAAUAUUUUAAAGCGAAGCGUAUAAAAAUAAAAAAAGAUUGAAAAGAAACGAGAAAAUAGUGAAAAGGCAUAAAAUUGAUAAUACCUAUUUUCAGGGCUAAUAUUGUCAUACCGUGUUUUAUAGUAUCCCCGACCGAUAAAUCAGAAUUUAUGUCCAAUUUUACGUGGUAAAGCUGCGGUAUAAAAUAGAUCGUGGCAUGGCUAUAAAUUGCAAGAUAGAGAGAGAGAGACAUAGAGAAAGAGAAGAAAAGAAAAAAAAAUAAAAAUUGGCAAACAAUAUUUUCUCGUGAACAAGGAUCCGCUUUCGAAAAACUACAAUUUUAAAGUAUCGAAUCGAGGAGGUCCAAACAUUCUCCUCGUUUUCCUUUCAACAGGUUGCUAGUUGUUCAUGCUCACUAUACAACACACGCGUCUUUGUUGUACCAGGAGUAGAUUUCACGAUUUUUCCUCACCGUUUCGGCAAAUUGCUUCUUGAAAUUGGCCCAUAAGAAAAGAUAAACGACAGUUGGCCUUUGAUCCAUUUCAUUGCAAUAAAGAUAUCCAUACAUCUCGUUACAUCCGUUUACAUAUAGACGAUAAUGAAAGAUAAAUUAUCAAAAAUUAUCAGAAUUUCAUUCACUUUUCAUUUUCAAUCGAGAUUAUCGUUGGUCGAAUAAAAUUUCUAUCGCGAACAACACGAUCGAACGAAAGAUUCUCCUCGUUUUUUCCACCGCAAUAAUUUUCUUCCUUCUUUUUUCAUCACGUACAUUUACACGCAGACUUUAAAUCACUCAUUCGAAAACGCGAACCGCUUUCACAACUUAAUAUUAUACAAUAAAUAUAUAUUACAAUAACACAUUCGAUACAGUGGUAAUUGUCCACGGUACGAUUUAUUGGGCAACGCAAUAUUGCCAUAAAACGUCACGUGACGGCCGCAAUAACUAUAACCAACCAAUGAAACUUCAUCCGUUCACGAACACUUGCGAAACUUUCGCGCAUGCACACGUAGCACACGAUCUUGUACAUAUACGAUCAAACGCGUGUGCAACUACCCACCCACGCACAGAAAUUCGAAUCGUGGAAACGUCGUAUACGAAAGUUGGCUAAUUUCACGCGGACGCGUUCACAGCAAUGGCGGAUUCACACCGCCAUGAUAGAAUUCGAAAUCACGCACGCGGAGAGAAUCCCUGACGAGCAGGCCAAUCAUAAUCGCUUCGACCUAUACCGAAUACAGAUCAGCCGUGUUAGAGGUGUCGUCUUCUUCGAGUUUUCUUUCGAAAAAUGGAUUUUUUUUCAUUUUUUCUUUCUCUCUUCGGAAAUUAAUCUAACUAGAUCGCUCGUCACGGGACGAGCAGGAGUGGAUGUACGUGCACGAGAGCGGAAAUCUAACUUUGCCUCGGGCCUCGAACAGAUUUCCUAGAUUUGUGGAGAAUAAUUUUAAUUUUUAAACUCGAGGAUAAUUUUUAAACUCGAUGCUCAAGAAAAUGCGAAUUUUCCUUCAAAGAUGGAAAUAAAUGACGCGAAUUCGGAUUUUGUAUCGAAAUAAUUGUCUUAUUCAACAGCCAAAGAUUUGAAACUCUUUUCAAUCACGUUGUGCGUGGAAAUGUUUUCAACGAAUAUAGAAACAAUUAUCUUAUUCUUCGUUGCACUUUUUUCUGUAGAAUCCAAGAUAAAAAAAAAAAUCGUUAAAUCAAACGUGACACGAUCCUCGCUAAAUCGAGAGCCUCGUUAAUUUAUAUCAAACGAAACCCACGAAGAUCGGCCCCGGAAACCUCGCACUCCAAUCUUGGAGGAAAUCGAUUUCCAUUUGUCGCCGCAUUCUUCAACACCGUUACCAACUUCUUCCAUGAAUUUAUCAAGCCCGUAUCUCACCGAGAAACCAGUAAAACGUCUCUUAAUUAUCGAUAAUUCCCAAACUUUCCAAUUAUCCUUCCAACCAUAUAAUUUGCCCAAACUUUUAAAAUUAUUACCGAUCCAUUUCUCGUUUCCAAAAAAAAAAAAAAAAAAAAAUAA